ACGCUUUGCCUGCCUCUGUGAGUCUAGCAGGUGCAUGUGUGUGUCCUCCUAACCCACUCACGGAAGUGGAUGGACACUUCUGAUGCUUUUACUCACAGUUCAGAGCUCUGACCCAGAUUUAUGGCAUGGAUCAUUGCAAUAAAAAAGACUCCCAGAUGCAGACAAAGCACGGUGUGGGGAAUUUGCUCAUAGGCGCCUGGGAAUCUGGCCAACUUCUUUCCAUCCCCUGUCGGAGGUGCAACAGUCCUCUACCGCCAUCAGCCAGAAAUUCAUAAGGAAGAUAUUCAAGGAGACUUCCUUUCAUCAGUGUGAUGCCUCAUUACGGAGGAAUGUUCCUGAAUGGUGCAGUGGGGUGAACAAUUUGCACAGCAUUCACUCCCAUGAGUGGAAAACACGCGGGUAGAAUUGGAAUUAUGUGAGAAGGACUGUAUUUUCCUCAAGCAACUGGAGGAAGAAAUGUUCCCAAGUCCAAAUGCCAGCACCGACACAACAGUAGCCCUGGGCCUGGGAGCUUGCAGAGUGCACCCAAGCGGUAGAUGACUCUCCCUCCAGCCCCCGGCCUGGUGGCUCCAGGUGACCCUCGGCUGCAGCCGUACACAGACGCCUGAUCCAGAGCUGCGAGGCCAGGCCUGGUGCCUCCUGGUGUGUGCCUGACUCUGAGCCUCAGCACCAGGGUGGUGACAACCCCUCUGUGUCUCUGGGUCCUUCGGGAAGUGGGGAAGCCCGGGAGAGAUGAAGGGGUCUGGCGGGGAGCAGGUUGGGGAAGAGCCCCAGAGCACAGAGCAGAUCCGAACUCAGUAAAAAGGAAAUCGGAGCCACCGACAGGGAGAUGGACAGCGUUCCAGCAACUUCCCUACAUGGAAACGGUGAUGGCUGUGUCACUGUCCCCAAGUCCUGCAGCUUGCCUCUGAGCACCAACCACUUGAAUCCGUGAUUGAUGAAUGGAAUGAAUAGAACCCAAUCAGGCAUGGCUAUGCCCACAGUGCUGUGCUCAACAACAGCUGUUCCGCGUAGUAAUUACGUGAGGGCACUAACGUCACGGGGAGAGUGCCCAGCUGUCGGUACUGCGGCGGGAGAGCUAGCCGGCUCCCUGAGCCUCUUCCUAGCAGACCCCCCAACUUCAUACCUCACCUCCUCCACUGGGGCAUCCAGGAGGUGAUCCGUUUCCAGGCUUAUCCGGUCCCAGAGCACACAGACGUCCCAGGAAGCUGCUCUGGACCGUGUGGCAGGUUCUCUCAAGUAAUGGAUAAUGUGAUAUAGUCUGUUUGCUUGUUUUGUUAGUGACGUCCUGACCUAGACUAAGGCCUUGGUUAUGGGGGGUGGGGGGUGGGGGGCUUCCCUGCUUGAGUCGCUGAUUAAGUUUCACCCCCAACCCCUUCCUGUAUGGGGCUCUCCAAGCCACAGUGCACCCCCCUAAGUCCCUGGGGCCAUGUACCAAGUCACUUGAGACAGGCCCUAUGCCCCAGAGCCUGCAAAAUUAUUCACAUUGCCGGUGCACAGGGAGCCCACAAAACCUAGCUCCUCCUCUCCCCCGUUGGCUGUGCAUGAGCUGCCCCUUCAGUGCCAGCUUCAGGUUACCUGUGCUAGGUCCCUGGGCGGCCCUGCCCGGCACUGUAAGAAGCAGGAGUUCUACCUUUGACCUAUCCAAGUGUCAUUGCCUGGUGUCCUGCCAUCAAAAGAAUCUUGGAAUCUCACAAACAUUUGGGGUGAGGUGGGACAUCUGCGCUCUGGCUGGCCUGCGGCUGUUCCCCUGCCAUGUGCCCGGGUCAUUCCUCAUCCUGACUCCCCAGUUCCUUCUAUACUCCUCAUGCAGAAUCGGGAAAGCCCAGUGGUGACUCCUGGCACCCCGGGCGCCAGUCCUCAUGCCUCCCGUGCUUGUCCCUGCCUCUCUGGGCUCCUCUCCCUCCCCCAAGAGAGGGAGUCAAUCAUCACUCCCCCAUCAGGAGCUGCCAGGAGAGCAGGUGCAGCCGCACAUUGCAGUUGCUCACUAUAGCAGCCACCACUGUGAUCAGAAACCCUGUAAGGCAUCCCAGGGACACUUGAGUGCUCAAUGCUCACCCCCCUCUCAACACACACAUACACACACACACACACACACACACACACGGGCGGGGAGGCACUGGACACAGGACACAGAAGCCAGAUGCUUCCAUUUGGGGUUCUCUGUGGGGGAAGGAGGACAAACAUGGUUUGGGCUCAGGCCCUGUGUUCUCAAUCAGAACUAGCUUGGAAAAAAAAAGAACCAGCUUGGGCCUCUUAACUUAUGUCUCCAGAAAGCUACACAUCCAAGGACAGGGCCUCACUGACAGGACUGAGCAAAACAGACCAUCAUCACACCGCUGGAGACUCCCAUCUGCUUCUCCUGUAUGGCUCUGGGAAUGACGUUCCUCAAUCCUGCAUUUUGUGAAUUA